rnacentral:rRNA from 1 species
GACGAACGCUGGCGGCGUGCUUAACACAUGCAAGUCGAGCGAUGAAGUUUCUUCGGAAAUGGAUUAGCGGCGAACGGGUGAGGAACACGUGAAGAAUCUGCCCUCCACUUUGGGAUAACACAGGGAAACCUGUGCUAAUACCGAAUAUUGAAACAUAAGUGGCAUCACUGAGUUUUGAAAGAAUUUCGGUGGAGGAUGACUUCGCGGCCUAUCAGCUAGUUGGUGAGGUAAUGGCUAACCAAGGCAACGACGGGUAGCCGGCCUGGGAGGGCGACCGGCCACACUGGGAGUGAGACACGGCCCAGACUCCUACGGGAGGCAGCAGUGGGGAAUAUUGGGCAAUGGAGGAAACUCUGACCCAGCGACGCCGCGUGCGGGAUGAAGGCCUUCGGGUUGUAAACCGCUUUCAGUAGGGAAGAAGCGAAAGUGACGGUACCUACAAAAGAAGCACCGGCUAACUAUGUGCCAGCCGCCGCCGUAA